UACGGAAGGCAGCAGUGGGGAAUAUUGCACAAUGGGCGAAAGCCUGAUGCAGCUAUGCCGCGUGCAUGAAGAAGGCCUUAGGGUUGUAAAGUACUUUCAUCGGGGAGGAAAAAACAAAACUAAUAAUUUUAUUUCUUGACGUUACCCGAAAAAGAAGCACCGGCUAACUCCGUGCCAGCAGCCGCGGUAAUACGGAGGGUGCUAGCGUUAAUCAGAAUUACUGGGCGUAAAGAGCACGUAGGUGGUUUUUUUAAGUCAGAUGUGAAAUCCCUGGGCUUAACCUAGGAACUGCAUUUUGAAACUGAAAUACUAGAGUAUCGUAGAGGGAGGUAGAAUUCUAGGUGUAGCGGUGAAAUGCGUAGAUAUCUGGAGGAAUACCUGUGGCGAAAGCGGGCCUCCUAAACGAAUACUGACACUGAGGUGCGAAAGCGUGGGGAGCAAACAGGGAUUAGAUACC
rnacentral:rRNA from 1 species